UGCGUCGGUUAGAUCGGGAUACUCAUCAAAUAAUAUCGAAAACCGAGGUAGUUUCUUUUGUUAAUGGCGGGCCACAUAAACUCGUAACGAGGUAAGCCAACAAGGCCGGUGGAUUACAACGACGGAGAGCUCUCAAAUCAUGUAUUGCUCGGAGUUUCAUCACAUCAUCGAGCAACCUCU
rnacentral:sRNA from 1 species